UACGGGGGGGGGCAAGCGUUGUUCGGAAUUACUGGGCGUAAAGGGCUCGUAGGUGGCCAACUAAGUCAGACGUGAAAUCCCUCGGCUUAACCGGGGAACUGCGUCUGAUACUGGAUGGCUUGAGUUUGGGAGAGGGACGCGGAAUUCCAGGUGUAGCGGUGAAAUGCGUAGAUAUCUGGAGGAACACCGGUGGCGAAGGCGGCGUCCUGGACCAAUACUGACACUGAGUGAGCGAAAGCCAGGGGAGCAAACGGG
rnacentral:rRNA from 1 species